GGCGUGUGACUGCGUACCUUUUGUAUAAUGGGUCAGCGACUUAUAUUCUGUAGCAAGGUUAACCGAAUAGGGGAGCCGAAGGGAAACCGAGUCUUAACUGGGCGUUAAGUUGCAGGGUAUAGACCCGAAACCCGGUGAUCUAGCCAUGGGCAGGUUGAAGGUUGGGUAACACUAACUGGAGGACCGAACCGACUAAUGUUGAAAAAUUAGCGGAUGACUUGUGGCUGGGGGUGAAAGGCCAAUCAAACCGGGAGAUAGCUGGUUCUCCCCGAAAGCUAUUUAGGUAGCGCCUCGUGAACUCAUCUCCGGGGGUAGAGCACUGUUUCGGCAAGGGGGUCAUCCCGACUUACCAACCCGAUGCAAACUGCGAAUACCGGAGAAUGUUAUCACGGGAGACACACGGCGGGUGCUAACGUCCGUCGUGAAGAGGGAAACAACCCAGACCGCCAGCUAAGGUCCCAAAGUCAUGGUUAAGUGGGAAACGAUGUGGGAAGGCCCAGACAGCCAGGAUGUUGGCUUAGAAGCAGCCAUCAUUUAAAGAAAGCGUAAUAGCUCACUGGUCGAGUCGGCCUGCGCGGAAGAUGUAACGGGGCUAAACCAUGCACCGAAGCUGCGGCAGCGAC
rnacentral:rRNA from 1 species